GGUGCUCGAGUGGCGAACGGGUGAGUAACACGUGAGUAACCUGCCCUUGACUUUGGGAUAACUUCAGGAAACUGGGGCUAAUACCGGAUAGGAGCUCCUGCUGCAUGGUGGGGGUUGGAAAGUUUCGGCGGUUGGGGAUGGACUCGCGGCUUAUCAGCUUGUUGGUGGGGUAGUGGCUUACCAAGGCUUUGACGGGUAGCCGGCCUGAGAGGGUGACCGGCCACAUUGGGACUGAGGUACGGCCCAG
rnacentral:rRNA from 1 species